CGCACUCGGGCGGGGGACGGAGCAGCUGUUGAGGCCGGAGCAGCUGCCGAGGCCGGCGCGGGGCUCAGCGCCCCCUCCGCGCCCACCCCUGCGCCGCGGGGAGGGCCCAGCCAGCCGGGCCUUUCAGAGUUAAUUAGCCCUCAUGCAUAUGGAUGCCACCGCGCUUGAAAGAGGUUGAGCGGCCGUAACCUGACCUCCGGAGGAGUGCGGGAAGAAAAGACCACUUUCUCGGCGGCCCCUAACUGAAAGCGGGGCAGCUGCGCGCCGCGUCCUGGGUGUGACCGCCGCCGCCCGAUUUCUCCCCCCGGAGCAGCCCGAGCGGGGCCGGGCGCCGCGCCCGCGUGCGCAGUCACUCUGUUGACCCGCAGGGCUGCGCAGGCGGCCCGGCCUCCGUCCCGGUGCAGUGUUGCGGUAAUGCUAUCUGCACUGGGAAUUUAUUCUGCAGCUUUCCUUUUCCGUGAUGGUUUUCAUUUCCUGUCUUUCAGAGCUGGAAGCGUUUAUGGAAUAUCACAUGGUUUUCGUUUACACAGGAAGUCAGCUGCAGUGUCACUGUUCUCCGAAGUGGCCUGUGAUUAUAUACAGAAAGCAGCAGUUUAUUUCUGACACGUGGUAAUCACUCUAUGUGAAGAAAGCUCAGCAUGAAGAGAUGCUUUGGCUUUGCCCGGAGCUAAGGCGCGAGCCCGGGAGAUGGGCGAGGAGCCUCCGGGACAGGCCGCGGGGAGAGGCUGAGAGCCCAGCCACGACCCUGCGCGGCUCAGGCCGCCUGCCAAGCUCGGUUCCCACCCUUCCGGGGAAAAACAAAACAAAACAAAAAAACGGCCCUUACCGCCCAAUAACCUGCUAGGACCACUCUGCUUAAACGUGCACACAGCAUUGUCUUCCCUUUCCCCCACCGACGAGGACCACAGGAGGUCUCAUCCACCUCUAGCCCACCACCCGGGCAAUCAAGAGAAUCUCAAGGCUUUAUAACAGAGAUGGAGAAGGACGUGGAAGAAUCUGCGACUUGUUCUGUAAACUCCGCCCUCUGGUCAACACUGAGUUAGGAACUCCUGACUAGAACCACCCACAAAGACUGCGCUCUCUAGUUACCCUCUCUGCUUCCGCAGUGUGGCUCCAGCAGCUUCUCACCCUCCCCCAGGAACCUCGGGCAACUGACCACCCUGGGCGGUAGCGCCACCUCGUGGCCAGCACCCCUCUCCAAGCAUUUCUUCCUCUCCCUUUUCCAGGAGCCUGAACAGUCUCUGUGGUCCCUGGAGACUGGCUUGAAGAGCCAGGGUAUUCACAAUCAAAUCAGGGCUGAAAGCCCCCGCCCGAGGGUUGAAAUGGUCCCUCCCUCCUUUCUUCUUGCCCCUGAAUAAACUAGAAAGGAAAGCA